rnacentral:rRNA from 1 species
UACGGGGGGGGCAAGCGUUGUUCGGAAUUACUGGGCGUAAAGAGCUUGUAGGCGGUUUGGCGCGUCUGGUGUGAAAUUUCGGGGCUCAACCCCGAACUUGCAGUGGGUACGGGCAGACUAGAGUGUGGUAGGGGAGACUGGAAUUCCUGGUGUAGCGGUGAAAUGCGCAGAUAUCAGGAGGAACACCGGUGGCGAAGGCGGCUCUCUGGACGGUGACUGACGCUGAGACGCGAAAGCGUGGGGAGCAAACAGG